GAUGAACGUUGACAGAAUGCUUAACACAUGCAAGUCUACUUGAAUUUGGGUUUUUUAACUUCGAUUUGGGUGGCGGACGGGUGAGUAACGCGUAAAGAACUUGCCUCACAGUUAGGGACAACAUUUGGAAACGAAUGCUAAUACCUGAUAUUAUGAAUAUAUGGCAUCAUAUAAUUAUGAAAGCUAUAAGCGCUGUGAGAGAGCUUUGCGUCCCAUUAGCUAGUUGGAGAGGUAACGGCUCACCAAGGCGAUGAUGGGUAGCCGGCCUGAGAGGGUGAACGGCCACAAGGGGACUGAGACACGGCCCUUACUCCUACGGGAGGCAGCAGUGGGGAAUAUUGGACAAUGGACCAAGAGUCUGAUCCAGCAAUUCUGUGUGCACGAUGACGUUUUUCGGAAUGUAAAGUGCUUUCAGUUGGGAAGAAAAAAAUGACGGUACCAACAGAAGAAGUGACGGCUAAAUACGUG
rnacentral:rRNA from 1 species